rnacentral:rRNA from 1 species
UACGGGGGGGGCAAGCGUUGUUCGGAAUUACUGGGCGUAAAGGGCUCGUAGGUGGCCACCUAAGUCCGACGUGAAAUCCCUCGGCUUAACCGGGGAACUGCGUCGGAUACUGGGUGGCUUGAAUCCGGGAGAGGGACGUGGAAUUCCAGGUGUAGCGGUGAAAUGCGUAGAUAUCUGGAGGAACACCGGUGGCGAAGGCGGCGUCCUGGACCGGAAUUGACACUGAGGAGCGAAAGCCAGGGGAGCAAACGGGAUUAGAUCCCCCGGUAGUCCGGGCCCUAAACGAUGAGUGCUUGGUGGGGCGGGUAUCGAUCCCCGCCGUGCCGGAGCUAACGCGUUAAGCACUCCGCCUGGGGAGUACGGUCGCAAGGCUG